rnacentral:sRNA from 1 species
AUGCUGUCGUCAGCUCGUGUCGUGAGAUGUUGGGUUAAGUCCCGCAACGAGCGCAACCCUUACUUUUAGUUGCUACCAUUUAGUUGGGCACUCUAAAAGAACUGCCGGUGAUAAGCUGGAGGAAGGUGGGGAUGACGUCAAGUCCUCAUGGCCCUUAUGUGUUGGGCUACACACGUGCUACAAUGGUAUCUACAGUGGGAUGCAAAGAGGCAACUCUAAGCCAACCCCAAAAAGAUACCUAAGUUCGGAUUGCACUCUGCAACUCGAGUGCAUGAAGCUGGAAUUACUAGUAAUCGUGGAUCAGCGCGCCACGGUGAAUACGUUCCCGGGUCUUGUACACACCGCCCGUCACACCAUGGAAGUUGGUUACACCUUAAGGCAAAGUGUAAAAACUUUGACUACGGUACGAUCAGCGACUGGGGUGAAGUCGUAACAAGGUAGCCGUAGGGGAACCUGCGGCUGGAUCACCUCCUUUCUAAGGAAAUCGAAAAAUAUUAAAACAAUUAUUUUCGAUUUAAAAAAAACCGGUAAUGUGACCGUCCUCAUUUCUCUUCUUUUAAUGUCUCUAAGGUAAAUCAAGGGGCCGGUAGCUCAGUUGGUUAGAGCGCACCCCUGAUAAGGGUGAGGUCGGAAGUUCGAAUCUUCCUCGGCCCACCAAUAUUAUGGGGGAUUAGCUCAGCUGGGAGAGCGCCUGAUUUGCAUUCAGGAGGCCAGCGGUUCGAUCCCGCUAUCCUCCACCAACUAAUUGAGACAUUUAGCUUUUUUAAAUUGUGAAUAUUAUUAAUAUUAUCAAUAUCUAUAUCCGAUUGUUUUCAGAUAUUUUUUUGAAAACAAUCAAAACAAAAAUUUGAAUUUUACACAGAAAAUUUUUUUCUGUGCAUAAAUCAAGCGUUUAAGGGCGAUUGGCGGAUGCCUUGGCACUGUAAGACGAUGAAGGACGUGGUAUACUGCGAUAAGUUUCGGGGAGCUGUAUGCAAGCUUUGAUCCGAAAAUUUCCGAAUGGGGAAACCCGG